CCGGAGGAAGGCGGGGAUGACGUCAAGUCCUCAUGGCCCUUACAUCCCGGGCUACACACGUGCUACAAUGGCAGGUACAGAGGGCUGCAAAGCCGCGAGGUAGAGCGAAUCCCAGAAAACCUGUCUCAGUCCGGAUUGAAGUCUGCAACUCGACUUCAUGAAGGCGGAAUCGCUAGUAACCGCGAAUCAGCAGGUCGCGGUGAAUACGUUCCCGGGCCUU
rnacentral:rRNA from 1 species